GCAUUAUGUUUUUGAAGAAGUCGGUAUCAAGAAUCAAAGGCGUUAGUUUGGAGGGUCGAAAACUGAUCGAAGAAAACUGCAAAAGUCCAUAUUUUUGUAGUCAAGUCAACUCCCAUUAAAAGUUAAAACCAGUUGUCCAUCAUCGUUUGCACAAUUAAUAGUCUUCUUUAAUAUUUCUCCUUCUCAAUCAAUCAAUGGCGUCUCGAAGUUUCAUCAAUCAAUGGCGUCUCGAAGUUUCAUCUUAUGGCUACACGGUCUUCACUUCGCCAACACUCGUUGGUCUUUCCCUUCUGCUCCACCUCAACCUGUUACCUGCUUUCGAUCGUUUUUCUUGCUCUCAUUGUAAAUUCCAAAUUACAAUUUCUUGUUUCUGUUAGUGCCUGAUCAUAGGUGGUUUUGUGAUGCCUUCAUGGUUUGACAUUCAGGAGAUGCCAAUAACAGCUGUAUAUCCUGAUCUUGGCCAUUCAAUAAGUGAUGAGGAGCUUCAACACAUGGAAUCAUGGAUCAUAUCCCGUCUACAAAGUGAAAGUUCUGCCUGAAGAUUUGACUAUCAUUGACUUUUCACUUGUAUACAUCCCUAUAUAGAUGCUUAAAAUUAUAUAACCACAUUAUAUUUGUAAUUUUUUUUAAAAAAAACUUAACAAUAUGUAUACAUAUAAGUUUAUGUUGUAUCAUGUAUGCUGGUUGAUAAAUGUUAUACCUUUUACUAAAAAAAGGGAUACAUUAUUGUUUUUGCAUAUUAAAAUUUGAUGUAUACAUCAUACUCAA